CCUACGGGGGGCAGCAGUGGGGGAUAUUGCACGAUGGGGGAAACCCUGAUGCAGCGACGCCGCGUGGGUGAAGAAGCGCCUCGGCGCGUAAAGCCCUGUCAGCAGGGAAGAAAAUGACGGUACCUGAAGAAGAAGCCCCGGCUAACUACGUGCCAGCAGCCGCGGUAAUACGUAGGGGGCCAGCGUUAUCCGGAUUUACUGGGUGUAAAGGGGGCGCAGUCGGCGAUGCAAGCCAGGAGUGAAAGUCCGGGGCCCAACCCCGGGACUGCACUUGGCACUGCGGGGCUAGAGUGCGGGAGGGGCAGGCGGAAUUCCUGGUGUAGCGGUGAAAUGCGUAGAUAUCACGCAGAACUCCGAUUGCGAAGGCAGCAUACCGGCGCCCGACUGACGCUGAGGCACGAAAGCGUGGGGAUCGAACAGGAUUAGAUACCCUUGUAGUC
rnacentral:rRNA from 1 species